rnacentral:rRNA from 1 species
GAAUGCCGGUGUGAGUAGCGAAAGACGGGUGAGAAUCCCGUCCACCGAUUGACUAAGGUUUCCAGAGGAAGGCUCGUCCGCUCUGGGUUAGUCGGGUCCUAAGCUGAGGCCGACAGGCGUAGGCGAUGGAUAACAGGUUGAUAUUCCUGUACCACCUAUAAUCGUUUUAAUCGAUGGGGGGACGCAGUAGGAUAGGCGAAGCGUGCGAUUGGAUUGCACGUCUAAGCAGUAAGGCUGAGUAUUAGGCAAAUCCGGUACUCAUUAAGGCUGAGCUGUGAUGGGGAGAAGACAUUGUGUCUUCGAGUCGUUGAUUUCACACUGCCGAGAAAAGCCUCUAGAUAGAAAAUAGGUGCCCGUACCGCAAACCGACACAGGUAGUCAAGAUGAGAAUUCUAAGGUGAGCGAGCGAACUCUCGUUAAGGAACUCGGCAAAAUGACCCCGUAACUUCGGGAGAAG